rnacentral:rRNA from 1 species
CCAAGGAGUAUAACAUGUUCGCGAGUCACUGGGUCGGCGCAAACCCAAGGGCGCAAUGAAAGUAAAGUUCGGCCUCUCGGUCGAGCCAGGUAGGAUCCUCGUCCGUUGGGACGGGGCGCACUACCAGCCCGGCUCGAUCUCUCACUCGCAGUGCGAGUGCGAGAGCAGGAGCGUACACGUUGGUGACCCGAAAGAUGGUGAACUAUGCUUGAGGAGGACGAAGCCAGAGGAAACUCUGGAGGAGGUCCGUAGCGAUUCUGACGUGCAAAUCGAUCGUCAAACUUGGGUAUAGGGGCGAAAGACUAAUCGAACCAUCUA